UACGUAGGGUGCAAGCGUUAAUCGGAGUUACUGGGCGUAAAGCGUGCGCAGGCGGUCCGCUAAGACAGAUGUGAAAUCCCCGGGCUUAACCUGGGAACUGCAUUUGUGACUGGCGGGCUAGAGUAUGGCAGAGGGGGGUAGAAUUCCACGUGUAGCAGUGAAAUGCGUAGAGAUGUGGAGGAAUACCGAUGGCGAAGGCAGCCCCCUGGGCCAAUACUGACGCUCAUGCACGAAAGCGUGGGGAGCAAACCGG
rnacentral:rRNA from 1 species